rnacentral:lncRNA from 1 species
CGCAGCCGAGGGACUCUGGAGACAGCCAGCCCCGGGCUUACGGCUCAGGGUGAAAUGACGCACGCUACAGCAGCGAAGGGCGUUCCACGGGGGCACUGGAGCAGCGCUGAGGCUGUCGGAUCAUCCCUCCCUGUCUCGCGAUAUCGCGUUCUCCGCACACUGAGCAUUGUUGUUCUUGGGAAGUACACGUGAGAAAUGGGGAGAACUGGUCCGGUCCAUGGUCACUCGGAAAGCUGUCCUGCAGUGUUCUCAAGCUUUUUGUCACUGAAUAUUUCAUGUUGCCUUUGUAGAUGACUGACAAUUUGACUAUAAAUAGAAUUCUUCCGUUACGACUCCGACCCACAAAGCUGUAUGAGUUUAUUUUUAUGGUUUACUAUUCUGAGGAGACUUCAGUGUGCAGGUAUUUUUCGUAUUAAUUUUGCUGUAUUCAUUUCAUUCUUUGUUUUUCUGCUUAUGUAUAAUAGUGGGCAAUUAUCUUUGACAUUUAAAAAUAAAAUACCCUCUCACCCAUUCCUAGCUGUUGAUAUGUUCGCAAUGAAUCUUUUGCUAAAAGUUGACGAGUGCCGACCACGACUGUAGGUAGGGAAGGCGGGAAGGCGAGCCGAGAGGAAGGGGAGCAGGGGACGCCAGAGAGAAGGGGGAGGGGCGACGGCGGGCGGAGCA